rnacentral:rRNA from 1 species
UACGUAGGGUCCGAGCGUUGUCCGGAAUUAUUGGGCGUAAAGAGCUCGUAGGCGGCGUGUCGCGUCUGCUGUGAAAGCCCAUGGCUUAACUGUGGGUGUGCAGUGGAUACGGGCAUGCUUGAGGUAGGUAGGGGAGACUGGAAUUCCUGGUGUAGCGGUGAAAUGCGCAGAUAUCAGGAGGAACACCGGUGGCGAAGGCGGGUCUCUGGGCCUUACCUGACGCUGAGGAGCGAAAGCAUGGGUAGCGAACAGG